AGUCAGCCCGGCACAGCCCCUUUCCGGCCCUCAGGCCCCAUCCCCAGCCUGGAGUGACACAGCCCGCGCCCCGCCCUAUAUCUCCGCCCCCAGCCUGCAGCCUUAAGGGCACUCCUUGCCCCUCCCCGCCUCCAGGCCCCGCCCCAGGGCUCCCAGCUGCCGGGCCGCGAGCUUCCAGCUGCGGGACUUCCGGCCCCCUUUCUCGCAAGAUGGCGUCCGCUGCAGGGACCUACCAGUCUUGCUUUCCUCUCGCUCUGUUCAGGCAUAUCCUUGGCUCUGCUUUCUGACCAAUCUCAGCCUCAUGUGAUACACCAAUUUCUCUCUUGGUUAGCCUAGGCUUUUCAUAACAGAGUAUAAAACCAAGGACUUAGAACAAGGACUGGAUCUAAAUCCUUUCCCAAAGCAGUGUGAUCUUGACCUUCCGACCUUCCUGAGUUAAAAGCGAUUAAAAUGUAAAGCUAUAGCCCUGCGCUCGGUUUAGAAUGAGGCCAUGGUCGGUGACUGCUAGUAUUUCUCUAAGGAAACUAUGGGCAUAUCCCUCAGUGUACUUUAAAUGGAUAGUGGAAAACUUCCAGUUUCUUGAGGUGAAAGUGCCCUAGAUAUAGUGCUGCACUGUGGAGAACACCUUGGAAUAAGAUGGAAUUGUAUAACCCUAAGUGUGCUGCAACCCCAAAGUGUGCUGUGACUUUAAGAGUGCUGUAACCUAAGUAUAACACAAUAAUGAGUGAUGUGUAAUCAUAAGAUAUGAAAGUAAUGAAAGUAGAACCUUAAGUGGUAUGGAACUGAUAAGGGCGUACCCCCGAAAAUUGGGCAGAGUAUGCCCCAAGCUGGACAGUGUGAUAAGUCUGAACCAAUACCACGAACGCCCAGCUAGAAUAGUAUAAAAGGAGCUGAAGACCCCAAGCAAAUCGACGAUCCGUCCCACCAACCAGUCGACCAGUCAAUCUGAUGAUCUGACUACCGACCGAGACAUCUGCACUCCUGAUCCCGCUGGGAGGAGCAUCGCCGCCGACCAGACGAGACCAGAGGACGAGGCAAGCGGAGAGGCGGAUAGCCUAGCGCUGACUCGACGCCCUUCGUCUACGGAUUGGACCCUCUGACCCUGCGGGAGGAAACGUCGCACUCCCAUUAAGGACUUGCGCAGUACAGAUGGAGCUUGGAAUAUACAUUUUGUAAUCUGCUUUUACAAACUGAAAUAUUCCACAUAGAAUAAGCUCCCAAUAGCAGCUGGCAUCUCACUAAGCUCUAUUUCCAUCAUCAUUAUUUAUGCUCCAAAUGGGUCCUCCCAUCUUCAGGCAGCAAAACAGCAGCUGCAACUGUCAAAUGCUUCUGUUGUAGGACUCAGUUCUAGUGUGACGGGAACACAUACUUCUGUCCCUGCCAUCAGGAAGCUUAAAACCAACCUGGAAAUAGGAAGAGGAUAAGAAAGAAGAUGGGAUGAGGAGAAGUAUGAGUGCGAUAAUAAAACAGCAAUAUUUGAUAAAAGCCUUCACCAUUUCCCCUGUUCACAGACCCCCCAGGCCUUGGAACCAUUGUCUUUUAACCACUCUUGGUUCCUGAGUCCUACAGGGUCCUCCUGGGAAACAGCUUCCUGAUUGUUCUCUUCUCCUUCCUUAUUGUGGGAUUAUCUUCCUUCUCCUCGUGCCUGGAAAAUUGCAACACACCCUUCAGCUUCCUGCUCUCCUCCUUUUUCUCCUCCUCUUCCUCCAGUCUUUUGGUCAUUUGCCUUUGUAAUAUUUUCAACUUUUUUCAGAAAUAUCAUAGUUAUUCUAUCACUUACGACUAUCCUUCCCCUACCCUUCUUACCUGGUGAACUGCCUCAGUGACAUCACAUUCUCCUCCAAUCUCUUCCGAUUCUUCUUUCAUCUUGCUGCACAGCAAGUCAAAGUGAAACAUCCUUUUCCUGCUUUUAGUGUUUGUUUCACUGUUUCCUGGAUCACUAGUCUUCCCCUUUGUUUUCUCUGCUUUGCUGCAGAAUAUAUUCCAGCAACUUCCCCACUUCACACAUGGGGAGGUAAAUUUACCAAGUCCUUGCAUGUCCAAGAAUGUUUUUAGGGCCGAGGAUUUAGCUCGGUGCCACCGCCUGCCUCGCAAACGCAAGAUCCCGAGUUUGAUCCCCAGUACCCCCCCCAAAAAUGUUUUUAGUCCCUGAAAACACUUUAUUGUAUUUGUCUGAGCAAAUACUAUAGUAUUCUAGUUUAAAAUCAUGUUGACUAGGGCUGAGGGUGAGCUCAGUGGCAGUCUUGUCUAGCAUGCAUGAGCUCCUCAGUUCAAUUCCCAGUACCCUCCCAAAAAUCUAUGUAGCUAAAUAGCUUGUGUUUUAGUACUCAUGUUGCUGAUGAGAAUUCUGAUAUCAAUCUGACCCUGUUUUUUGGUAACGUAGAUGAUUGUUUCUAUUUUACCAAGUGUAAUCCUAACAACCCAUUUUUCAUUUCUAAAAUUGAGCCCCAGAGGUCUGUGUUUUGUAUUUUAAUGCCAAAGAAUAAUACAUCAGAGUCUGGUUUUGAAAAUACAGAACUUCAUUAACUUUUUAAAAUCUAAUAAAAAGAUGAAAAAGACUUUUCUUCUCCACCGCAUCUCCAAAAGGAGAGAUGUCUACAUCUUCAAACUUGGUCAGUGAUCCAGCAAGGUAAAAUGCCGAGCCUGAAGAUAGCCUUUUGCCUACUCCCUACUCCCUUUCUCCUCCAUAGAUUAGUCAGACAGACACAGACUGUAGAUCCUGGAUGGCACAGCCCCAGGAGACAGUUGCAUUAUGUAUCCUUGGUCUUUUUCUGCGCAUGCCCCGAUCACGAGACACUCACGUUCAGCCCAGGGCACGUGGGCCACGUGGUACUAGUUACCCCACCUUCCUACACUAUAAAUGAAGAGCGCACUGGACGCCAGGCGGCCAUUAGCUCAUCAGGCUAUGGCCCCACCUGGUCCCAGCUAUCAGGAAUAAUCUUGGUCAUCUUCAUCUUGUCUUCAUCUCCCACCACUCUCCCCAGCUUGGACCCUAGCUGUGCAGGUCACGGCAAUAAAAUCUAAAGGAGAACUCUCUUAAGAGUCCUAGUCUUUUCUUGUAUAAAUAUGCACAGCUGCUCUUCUCUUUAAUAGAAAUCUACCAUUACAAUUAUUAUUUGGACAAAGGAGUCUUUCAGAUGUUAGAGAUUUUAGAAAUUGUUGCCAUGUUGUGUGACACCGGCAACCCUGACUUAUAGUUUUACUUGUUGAUGUGUUGUCCUGGUGAUAGUGUUAUAAGUGAUACUUAGGUUUACAAGUGACAUAAACAUUAACAGUGUUGCUCAGUCAUAUCAGAAGAGGAUCCUUGUUUCUCUACCCCUUCUGUGUACCUCAUGGACAAAUAAAAGCCUAAGAGUCCUUAGCAUAACAAAGAGUUUAGCAGUGUGCUCUUUGCAAUUCCACGGAGAUACCCAGUUGCUUCAGCAGCAUGAACCAUAGUGAUGGCAUCUCACAUCGAAGAGUUUGUUCUAUGAAAUUUUUCAUUCUGACUCCUGACCCCUAUUCACAUCAUGGUGCCUUUUCUGUAUGAGUUACAGCAUGUUUCUUUUCAAUGCCCUUCAGCAAUUUUGGGAGUUAGGGAAAGAAUAUUUGACAACAAUAUGAAAGCCAAAGUGGCAGUUCCAUUAAUUAAAAAAGAAAAAAGUUACCCCUCUCCUCCCUUCUUCCAAGGUCCAGUCAGACAAUUCCUCAGAUAUUCGAAGUAUGGGAAAAGUCUGCUGCCAAAACCAAAAGUAUUUUCUGUAUUACCAUAGUGUUACAUCUUUAUUAAAACAUAUUGCUGUAGGGCCAGGGAUUUAGCUCAGUGGAUCUGCAGCCUGCCUCUCAAGAGCAAGGUCCCGAGUUCAAUCCCCGGUACCAAAAAAAGAAAGAAAGAAAGAAAGAAAAAAAACCAUAUUGCUGUAUAGAGUAACACUAGAAAAAAUAAUAUUGUGGAUAGGCAAAUUUCCUAGAUCCAUUGAACCUCCAGGUUAUUGCUGAAACUGAUCUACCAGAUAAUAGAUAAACAGAAUAGAAUUGAGUCCAGAAAGAAACCUGCUCCACAGUAUCACUUAACUCAUCACAAAGAUGCCAAUGAGAUCCAACUGGGAGAAGUAAAGAACCUUUGAAUAAAUGGCGCUGGUUCAAAGAGUAUUUGCAUUUUAAAAUUGGAGAGAGGCUAUCAAAUUAUUCAGUAGAAAGCUUACACUAAUUUAGACUCUCACCAAUUUGGUUGAAGAGUGCUUCGUGUUCUCUUCAUGUAAACGUUCAAGCGUAUUUGUUGUUUUGUUUUGUUUGGUACUGGGGAUUGAACUUGGCUCCUUGCACUUGAAAGGCAGGCAGCAGAACCAUUGAGCUAAAUGCCUGGCUCAAACAUGUUUGAAAAGAUGAAAUGUUUUGUUUCCAGAGCACAAAGUCCUCCUUCUAUGUGUGUAUAUCAUGCAAUAUGUUCAUUAUUUGAACACGUUAUUUAUUGAGUGCCCCAGGCAUGUUAGGGACUGUUCUUUGCCCUUGGGGUUUGGUUGAAAGCAAAGUACUGUACUUACUUCUCUGGGAUUUAUAUUCUUGUGGGAAAAGAUGGACUAUGAACAGGUAAAAAAUAAUAAUGUGUUCUAUGGUUCUCAGUUGUAUGAAGAAAAACCCUAUCAGGGGAAGGGCAGAGAAACAGCCUGGGAGGGAGAGUUCAAUGGAUAUGAGAUUUACAGUGGGGUGAUGAAAAUGUUCUGGGACAGAUGGUGGAGAUGGUUGCCAAAAUUAUGAGUAUACUAAAUGCCAUGCAACUAUAAACAAUAAAAAAGAAUCUCAGCUGAGUGUGGAGGGCAUGCCUACAAUCCCACCUUGGGAAGCUGAGGCAGGAGAAUUGCAGACCCUGUCUCAAAAUAAAACAUAAAAAGGGCUGAGGAUGUAGCUCAGGGUAGAGUGCUUGCAUGAAGCCCUGGGUUCAACCCCAGUUCUGGAAAAAAAAAACCUUACACGUACCAAUUUUAAUUUCUUUUUUUGUUGUUGUGAUAUUAUAUAUGUUUUUAAUUUAAUUUUAUUUUUUCUGAUGUUUUUGAGACAAGGUCUUGCUAUGUAGUUUAGACUGGCCUUGAGCUCACUGUGUAGCUCAGGCUGCCCUUGAACAGUUUGUGACCCUCCUGCCUCAUCCUCCUGAGUGCUGGAAUUACAGGCAUGUGCCACCAUGCCAGGCAAUUCUUUUACAUUAUUUCUAACAGUUUUAAUUUAUUGAAUUUUAAAGUUCUAUAUUAAGGUUCUUGAUUCUUGUAUCUCGUCAGUGCAUUGUGACUUUUAUCAUUUGGAAAAAACCCUUUCCUUUAAUGUUUUAGGUGUCCAUUUUUUAAAUAGCCCAUAACUAGAUUAUUUUUUGACUCAAAACAGGACUAGGUUUUAAAAUAAAA
rnacentral:lncRNA from 1 species